rnacentral:lncRNA from 1 species
GGGUGUGCCGGGUGGUGCAGCAAUGUGAUGUCAGAUUUUGUCCUUCCUCUUCUCAUCCUUUAGAGCUCUUCUCCCUCAGGAUACUCCAGCUAAGAAAGUAUGGAUGCUUCCCCUAGUUUAGAAUGCACUUCAGAUGGAUUCCAAGCUAGAACAAGGUCUAUCUGGAUGUGAAGUCAUGUGACAUGAACUAAUGGCUAGAUUUCUACUGAGGAAGCUUGAGGUCCUUGUCUAUAAAGGAUGAAGAGAUCCUCCUAGCUUGGCGGACUACUCUGCUCUGAUGGAAGUACCAUCCUGGUCCAAACAUGAAAGAAUUCCCAACAUCAAGAUUGAUUGAAACAUAUUCAAUGGGUAUGUGUGAUCUUCACAUAUGUAUCUAUUGGAAGUAUAACAAAAUUCUUCCACUUGU